rnacentral:tRNA from 1 species
UGGCACAGUGGUUAAGCAUUUGGCUGUUAACCAAAAGAUCGGGGGUUCAAAUCCACC